rnacentral:misc_RNA from 1 species
UUAACUAUUAUAUAGUACUCAGACGACAUCAAAUUAAGAGUUUGGGUCCUCUGGCAGGCACUGUCCAACCUAAGCCGGUAGACAAUACGUCCGGCCUGCCAAAGCAACAUUGGUAAUGUUAACAAAGGGUGGGAGAUCUACCCCGAAGGGCAAGUUCUCUGUAAUGAUCCUUCCGCAGGUUCACCUACGGAACGCAAAGUCUACUACUCUCUCAAGCGUAGGCCGGUCAUAUCUGAACCUCAGGCUUCGCAUUCCCUGAGACCACCUCCGUUUGAUCUGUGAACUGCUAAAGCAGCUGCGUGUUACCUAAGAUGAGAUCCACGCACAGUAAAGGUGUUGCCUACAUUACUGUAGACUGGUGUCCAAGGCUUCAAUAGGUGCUAUAAGUCCCUACGAAGGAAA